rnacentral:lncRNA from 1 species
CUGCGCCGCCUGGCUGGGCGGCCACCUGCCCUGCGCUGGGCUCGCGUCGGAAGCCCCCAGCCCGGGAGCGCCGGUUUCCCUAAACGCCUCGUACCAGUGGGUGAGAAAAGACCGGACGCAGGCUAACCAGCUCCCUCCCUGGGCACGUUUUAGGAAAGUGCCUUAUGGUUUUAUAAAACACAUCAGUAUUGCACGAACCAGCCGAGGAGACUGGCGUUUACACUUCGGCCACUCCUUUAUCCUCCAUUUGGGGAUUUGGUCCAGGGACAGACGCUGAGAAAUAACAGCGUGGAAGCAAAGUCUUUCGUUUACUAUUGGCUGUCUAACGUCACACUCCCCACCAACUUACGAUCUGUGGUACCAGAUCAGAAAAAGAAAAAUGAAGUGUGUUAUCAUUAGAUGCUCGAAAAACAUGGCCAGAAGAAAGCCAGGAGGAGACCGUGAUAAGUCGACUCCAGGGCAGAAGUGGAAGCAGGCCUGUGAGGCCCUGGCUGCCAGAUUCCGAAGCAAAAGGAAGCAGUUGCUGCAAACUGUAUUUGAUUAUGGAUAAUGGAAGGCCAAGAAGAGUUGGAACCAGGCGGGGUGAAUGCCCCAGAACUAAUCCCUUUCCAAAGGACAGAAGUGAGAGAAAGGAUCAGAAUUUGAAAUAAAGCUACUUAGAAAGGGAAAGGGGCUGAAACAAAGUCAGGAGGAAAGUUGGUAUUUAAGGCAUGCAGAGAAUGGACUCUGAAAGAGUAGGCAGGAUGUUGGAGCAGCGGGGAUAUAAACAGACUGGAUAGAAGAGAUGACAUAGCUCUGUGGUUAAGUACCGUCAAAUUAAAAGCUAACGAGGCGGUAGUGUAUGCCCUAGCUA